AGGAUGGCAGAACAAAAGAUGAAGACAUCAGCACUGUGGCUGGAGGCGAAUCUGAAGAGAUCUACCCCUCCUGAUGGAAGCACAAUAGACAGGCCUGAAAGCCUCCCUGAAGAUAAAAAGUGGUUAGUGCCACCUGCUUCAGUAAGCCAGAUAGGUAUCAGUUGCACAAAUGGGUGGCCAGAGUAUCUGUGCCCAGUUUUUUCCAAGAAUGCCUUUUUUCUUUCCAUAUUUCAUUUCUCCAGUGAAUCAGUAUUACCUGUGACUAUACUUGUAAUACUACAGGUUGAUUAUAGUUAGAUCCACAUUGUAUCCAUGUUGUGAUUUUGCUAUAUAAAAUAUUCUUGACCAAAACCUCAGUGGCCACCCACUUGGGACCCUCUUGGAACUCCAGGAGCUAUUCUUAUCUUUAUUUCUAGUAAAAGUCUCCUAACUUCUUCCCUUAGUUCUUGACUUCAUUCCACUUUGUUGUGAGACUCUGCGCAUCUGACAUCUAAUAGGUUGGGAGUUAUCUUCCCUCUCAUACUCUUCUGUCUUCCAUAAUUAUGUGAUAAUAUAAUUGCAUUGUUCUAAGCCACUGAGUUUGUGAUAAUUUGUUUUGGCAGCAAUAGGUAACCAACUCAGAGCUCACAGAAAAGACCAGGCCAGCCUCCCUUCAGAACAGACCAACAAGCAUACAGAAGGGACCAUGUGGAUGAACUCUAAAAGGCAGAGAGAGUAUUUGUCUGAAAAAUAUUGGCUUUUGGAGAGAUGUUUUAAACCCAAAACAAGCAUAAAAUUCUCUUAAUGGCCAAGUGUAAAGUUUUUUUUUUUUUCUUCUGUUACUUGUUUGGAGGAUUCUCACAGAAAAAAAAAAAAGCAGCAAUAGAAUUAAAUUCAGAAGAGAUAUUUUGACUUUUCUGAGCAGAGUCGCUGAGUCAACUUCCCAGGCAGUACAGGAUAAAUGG